GAUGAACGCUGGCGGCGUGCCUAAUACAUGCAAGUCGAGCGAACAGAUGAGGAGCUUGCUCCUCUGACGUUAGCGGCGGACGGGUGAGUAACACGUGGAUAACCUACCUAUAAGACUGGGAUAACUUCGGGAAACCGGAGCUAAUACCGGAUAAUAUAUUGAACCGCAUGGUUCAAUAGUGAAAGACGGUUUUGCUGUCACUUAUAGAUGGAUCCGCGCCGCAUUAGCUAGUUGGUAAGGUAACGGCUUACCAAGGCAACGAUGCGUAGCCGACCUGAGAGGGGGUACGGCCACACUGGAACUGAGACACGGUACAGGGUCUGACGGGAGGCAGCAGCAGGGAAUCGUCCGAAAUGGGCGAAAGCUUGACGGAGCAACGGCGCGUGAGUGAUGAAGGUCCGCGGAUCGUAAAACUCUGUUAUGAGGGAAGAACAAAUGUGUAAGUAACUAUGCACGUCUUGACGGUACCGAAGCAGAAAGCCACGGCUAACUACGU
rnacentral:rRNA from 1 species